UACAGAGGUCCCAAGCGUUGUUCGGAUUCAUUGGGCGUAAAGGGUGCGUAGGUGGCGCUGUAAGUCGGGUGUGAAAUUUCGGAGCUUAACUCCGAAACUGCAUUCGAUACUGCGGUGCUUGAGGACUGGAGAGGAGACUGGAAUUCAUGGUGUAGCAGUGAAAUGCGUAGAGAUCAUGAGGAAGACCAGUGGCGAAGGCGGGUCUCUGGACAGUUCCUGACGCUGAGACACGAAGGCCAGGGGAGCAAACGGG
rnacentral:rRNA from 1 species